rnacentral:rRNA from 1 species
AGUGAACGCUGGCGGUAGGCCUAACACAUGCAAGUCGAACGGCAGCACAGUAAGAGCUUGCUCUUACGGGUGGCGAGUGGCGGACGGGUGAGGAAUACAUCGGAAUCUACUUUUUCGUGGGGGAUAACGUAGGGAAACUUACGCUAAUACCGCAUACGCCCUACGGGUGAAAGCAGGGGAUCUUCGGACCUUGCGCGAUUGAAUGCGCCGAUGUCGGAUUAGCUAGUUGGCGGGGUAAAGGCCCACCAAGGCGACGAUCCGUAGCUGGUGUGAGAGGAUGAUCAGCCACACUGGAACUGAGACACGGUCCAGACGCCUACGGGAGGCAGCAGUGGGGAAUAUUGGACAAUGGGCGCAAGCCUGAUCCAGCCAUACCGCGUGGGUGAAGAAGGCCUUCGGGUUGUAAAGCCCUUUUGUUGGGAAAGAAAAGCAGCAGGUUAAUACCCCGCUGUUCUGACGGUACCCAAAGAAUAAGCACCGGCUAACUUCGUG